AUGCUCACUUUAGCAGCACGUAUACUAAAAUUGGAACGAUAUGAAGAAAAUUAGCAUGGCCUUUCCCUGUGCAAGGAUGACACACAAAUUUGUGAAGCAUUCUGUAUAAAAAAAUUUU
rfam:Dipodomys ordii contig_28984, whole genome shotgun sequence.